rnacentral:rRNA from 1 species
UACGUAGGGUGCAAGCGUUAUCCGGAAUUAUUGGGCGUAAAGAGCUCGUAGGCGGUUUGUCGCGUCUGCUGUGAAAACCGGAGGCUCAACCUCCGGCCUGCAGUGGGUACGGGCAAACUAGAGUGCGGUAGGGGGAGAUUGGAAUUCCUGGUGUAGCGGUGGAAUGCGCAGAUAUCAGGAGGAACACCGAUGGCGAAGGCAGGUCUCUGGGCCACUACUGACGCUGAGAACGAAAGCAUGGGGGAGCGAACAGG